UCUGGUUGAUCCUGCCAGUAGUCAUAUGCUUGUCUCAAAGAUUAAGCCAUGCAUGUCUAAGUAUAAAUAGUAUACAGUGAAACUGCGAAUGGCUCAUUAAAACAGUUAUAGUUUAUUUGAUAAUUGACAAUUACAUGGAUAACCGUGGUAAUUCUAGAGCUAAUACAUGCUUAAACGCCCGACUUUAUGGAAGGGUGGUAUUUAUUAGACUGAAGCCAAUAUUCCUUGUGUCUAUUGCGGUGAUUCAUAAUAACUGAUCGAAUCUCUUUUUGAGAUAAAUCAUUCAAGUUUCUGCCCUAUCAGCUUUCGAUGGUAGUGUAUUGGACUACCAUGGCAGUAACGGGUAACGAAGAAUUAGGGUUCGAUUUCGGAGAGGGAGCAUGAGAAACGGCUACCACAUCUAAGGAAGGCAGCAGGCGCGUAAAUUACCCAAUCCUGACUCAGGGAGGUAGUGACAAGAAAUAGCAAACCGGGAACCUCAUGGUUUCACGGUAUUGCAAUGAGAACAAUUUAAAACCCUUAGCGAGAAUCAAGUGGAGGACAAGUCUGGUGCCAGCACCCGCGGUAAUUCCAGCUCCACUAGCGUAUAUUAAAGUUGUUGCAGUUAAAAAGCUCGUAGUUGAACCUCUGUCUGGGGCUAGUUUUGGCUUUGGUCAGGCUAGUUCUAGGCAUCCGCCUACAAGACUUAGAGGGCAUUCAGUUGUUCACUAGGAGGAGUAGGCAUUUUACUUUGAAAAAAUUAGAGUGUUUAAGGCAGGCAAUCGCCCGCAUAUAUUAGCAUGGAAUAAUAGAAUAGGACACUUUUCCAUUUCGUUGGUUAUUGGAAUCGUGUAAUGAUUAAUAGGGACAGUUGUGGGCAUUUGUAUUUAAUUGUCAGAGGUGAAAUUCUUGGAUUUAUUAAAGACAAACUAACGCGAAAGCAUUUGCCAAGGAUGUUUUCAUUAAUCAAGAACGAAAGUUAGGGGAUCAAAGACGAUCAGAUACCGUCCUAGUCUUAACUAUAAACUAUUCCGACUCAAUGUUUGACUGGCUUAUAUAACCAGUUGAGCGUUGUAUGAGAAAUCAAAGUCUUUAGGUUCUGGGGGGAGUAUGGUUGCAAAGCUGAAACUUAAAGGAAUUGACGGAAGAGCACAACCAGGAGUGGAUUCUGCGGCUUAAUUUGACUCAACACGGGGAAACUUACCAGGUUAAAACAAUAGUGGGAUUGACAGUUUGAGAGCGCUUUCUUGAUUGGUUGGGUGGUGGUGCAUGGCCGUUCUUAGUUGGUGGAGUGAUUUGUCUGCUUAAUUGCGUUAACGAACGAGACCUUAACCUGCUUACUAGACUGGCGAUCAUCAAUCGUUA
rnacentral:rRNA from 1 species